UACGUAGGUGGCAAGCGUUGUCCGGAUUUAUUGGGUUUAAAGGGUGCGUAGGCGGCCCUGUAAGUCAGUGCUGAAAUAUCCCGGCUUAGCCGGGAGGGUGGCAUUGAUACUGCGGGGCUAGAGUACAGAUGAGGUAGGCGGAAUUGACGGUGUAGCGGUGAAAUGCUUAGAUAUCGUCAAGAACACCUAUAGCGAAGGCAGCUUACUAGGCUGUAACUGACGCUGAGGCACGAAAGUGUGGGGAUCAAACAGG
rnacentral:rRNA from 1 species